rnacentral:rRNA from 1 species
AUUGAACGCUGGCGGCAGGCCUAACACAUGCAAGUCGAGCGAGCGGAGGACGGGUGAGUAAUGUCUGGGAAACUGCCUGAUGGAGGGGGAUAACUACUGGAAAAGGUAGCUAAUACCGCAUCCCAUCAGAUGUGCCCAGAUGGGAUGAGCUAGUGGGUGGGGUAACGUCGCACCUAGUCGACGAUCCCUAGCUGGUCUGAGAGGAUGACACGCCACACUGGAACUGAGACACGGUCCAGACUCCUACGGGAGUCAGCAGUGGGGAAUAUUGCACAAUGGGCGCAAGCCUGAUGCAGCCAUGCCGCGUGGGUGAAGAAGGUCUUCGGAUUGUAAAGCACUUUAAGUUGGGAGGCGUUACCAACAGAAUAAGCACCGGCUAACUUCGUGCCAGCAGCCGCGGUAAUAC